AUUGAACGCUGGCGGCAGGCCUUACACAUGCAAGUCGAGCGGAGCUACAGACGGGUGCGUAAUGACCAGGAAUCUGACUGGUCGAGAGGGAUAACGUCCGGAAACGGGCACUGAUCCCGAAUACUAUCAGAAGUGACUAGGAAGGAUUUGCGAGUUGGUGGGGUAAAGGCCUACAAAGGCGACGAACCGUAACUGGUCUGAGUGGCUGAUCAGUCACACUGGAACUGAGACACGGUCCAGACGCCUACGGGAGGCAGCAGUGGGGAAUAUUGGACAAUGGGCGAAAGCCUGAUCCAGCCAUGCCGCGUGUGUGAAGAAGGUCUUCGGAUUGUAAAGCACUUUAAGUUGGGAAGCGUUACCUACAGAAUAAGCACCGGCUAACUUCGUGCCAGCCGCCGCGGUAAUAC
rnacentral:rRNA from 1 species